AUUGAACGCUGGCGGCAGGCCUAACACAUGCAAGUCGAACGAGUGGCGGACGGGUGAGUAAUGUCUGGGACACUGCCUGAUGGAGGGGGUUAACUACUGGAAACGGUAGCUAAUCCCGCAUACCAUAGGCUGUGCCAAGAUGGGAUUAGCUAGUAGGUGGGGUAAAGGCUCACGUAGGCUCCGAUCCCUAGCUGGUCUGAGAGGAUUACGGGCCAGAUGGGAACGGAGACACGGUCCAGACUCCAAGGGGAGGCAGCUGUGGGGAAAUUGCACAAUGGGCGCAAGCCUGAUGCAGCAAUGCCGCGUGUAUGAAGAAGGCCGUCGGGUUGUAAAGUACUGUCAGCGGGGAGGCGUUACCCGCAGAAGAAGCACCGGCUAACUCCGUGCCAGCAGCCGCGGUAAUAC
rnacentral:rRNA from 1 species